CAGCACAUACAAUAAAUCGCAAGUGUGAUCCAGGGAUGCCAUUUCGUGAAACAAAAUUUUCAAAAUUCUCGCCAGUCCAGAAAUGCAAGUCCAGCAGGCGCGGCAGCGGCGGGAAAUAGCAACGCAGCAGCAGUGGCAGCGACGGCAGUGGGGUUGGGAGGUGCAGUAGCCUAAACGGCAGGCGUGGCGGCGGCGGGAAUUAGCAACGCAGCAGCAGUGGCAGCGACGGCGGUGGGGUUGGAGGUGCAGUAGCCUAAACGGCAGGCGCGGCGGCGGUGGGAAUAAGCAACGCAGCAGCAGUGGCAGCGAUGAAGGUGGGGUUGGAAGGUGCAGUAGCCUAAACGGCAGGCGUGGUGGGGGGGGAAAUAGCAAGAGCAGCAGGCGCGGCGGCUGGCGGGAAUUAGCAACGGAGUAGCAGCGGCAGCGAUUGCGUUGGGGCUGGGAGGUGCAGUAGCCUAAAUGGCAGGCGCGGCGGUGGCGGGAAAUAGCAACGCAGCAGCAACGGCAGCGAUGGCGUUGGGGCUGGGAGAUGCAGUAAUCUGAACAGGAGGCGCGGCGGCGGCGGGAGAUAGCAACGCAGCAGCAGCGGCAGCGACGGCAGUGGGGCUGGGAGGGCAGUAGCUCAACAGCAGGCGCGGCGGCGGCGGGAAAUAGCAACGCAGCAGCAGCGGCAGCAACGGAGGUGGGGCUGGGAGGUGCAGUAGCCUAAACGGCAGGCACGGCGGCGGCGGGAAUUAGCAACGCAGCAGCAGUGGCAGCGACGGCAGUGGGGUUGGGAGGUGCAGUAGCCUACACGGCAGGCGUGGCGGUGGCGGGAAAUAGCAACAGCAGCAGGCGCGGCGGCGGCAGGAUUUAGCAAAGGAGUAGCAGCGGCAACGAUGAAGGUGGGGCUGGGAGGUGCUGUAGCCUAAAUCGCAGGCGCGGCGGUGGCGGGAAAUAGCGAUGCAGCAGCAGCGGCAGCGAUGGCGUUGGGGCUGGGAGGUGCAGUAGCUAAAAUGGCAGGCGCGGCGGCGGCGGGAAAUAGCAACACAGCAGCAGUGGCAGCGACGGCGUUGGGGCUGGGAGAUGCAGUAGCAUAAACAGCAGGCACGGCGGCGGCGGGAAUUAGCAACGCAGCAGCAGUGGCAGCGACGGCAGUGGGGUUGGGAGGUGCAGUAGCCUACACGGCAGGCGUGGCGGUGGCGGGAAAUAGCAACAGCAGCAGGCGCGGCGGCGGCAGGAUUUAGCAAAGGAGUAGCAGCGGCAACGAUGAAGGUGGGGCUGGGAGGUGCUGUAGCCUAAAUCGCAGGCGCGGCGGUGGCAGGAAAUAGCGAUGCAGCAGCAGCGGCAGCGACGGCGUUGGGGCUGGGAGGUGCAGUAGCCUAAAUGGCAGGUGUGGCGGCGGCAGGAAAUUGCAACACAGCAGCAGUGGCAGCGAUGGUCUUGGGGCUGGGAGGUGCAGUAGCUAAAAUAGCAGGCACGGCGGCGGCGGGAAUUAGCAACCGAGUAGCAGCGGCAGCGACGGCGUUGGGGCUGGGAGGUGCAUUAGGGAGGGCCUUUAUUUUAUAAAAAUGGGCCACAUCCAAUUGGCCAUCCAAUCUUUUCUCUUUUCACUCUCUUCCAAGUGAUGUAGCCACAGAGAACAUACAAACACUAUUUUGGUAUUGCUGUGGCUGCCAGUUCAACUCUGGCAUGGAAGUCAUUUUUCUUUCUCUGACUAUAUACCUACUACUAUUAUACUAAAGGGUAUUACCAGUACUACUAUAUACAUAAAAGUAGUAGUAGUAGUAGUAGUAGUAGCAGCACAUACAAUAAAUCGCAAGUGUGAUCCAGGGAUGCCAUUUCGUGAAACAAAAUUUUCAAAAUUCUCGCCAGUCCAGAAAUGCAAGUCCAGCAGGCGCGGCAGCGGCGGGAAAUAGCAACGCAGCAGCAGUGGCAGCGACGGCAGUGGGGUUGGGAGGUGCAGUAGCCUAAACGGCAGGCGUGGCGGCGGCGGGAAUUAGCAACGCAGCAGCAGUGGCAGCGACGGCGGUGGGGUUGGAGGUGCAGUAGCCUAAACGGCAGGCGCGGCGGCGGUGGGAAUAAGCAACGCAGCAGCAGUGGCAGCGAUGAAGUGGGGUUGGAAGGUGCAGUAGCCUACACGGCAGGCGUGGCGGUGGCGGGAAAUAGCAACAGCAGCAGGCGCGGCGGCGGCAGGAUUUAGCAAAGGAGUAGCAGCGGCCACGAUGAAGGUGGGGCUGGGAGGUGCUGUAGCCUAAAUCGCAGGCGCGGCGGUGGCAGGAAAUAGCGAUGCAGCAGCAGCGGCAGCGACGGUGUUGGGGCUGGGAGGUGCAGUAGCUAAAAUGGCAGGCGCGGCGGCGGCGGGAAAUAGCAACACAGCAGCAGCGGCAGCGACGGCGUUGGGGCUGGGAGAUGCAGUAGCCUAAACGGCAGGCACGGCGGCGGCGGGAAUUAGCAACGCAGCAGCAGUGGCAGCGAUGGCGGUGGGGUUGGGAGGUGCAGUAGCCUAAACGGCAGGCGCGGCGGCGGCGGGAAUUAGCAACGGAGUAGCAGCAGCAGCGACGGCGGUGGGGCUGGCAGGGCCAUUAGUCUCAACAGCAGGCGCGGCGGCAGGGGGAAAUAGCAACCGCAGCAGGCGCGGUGGGGGGGGGAAAUAGCAACGGAGUAGCAGCGGCAGCGACAGCAUUGGGGCUGGGAGGUGCAGUAGCCUAAACAGCAGGUGUGGCGGCAGCGGGAAAUAGCAACACAGCAGCAGCGGCAGUGAUGGCGGUGGGGUUGGGAGGUGCAGUAGCCUAAGCGGCAGGCGCGGCGGCGGCGGGAAAUAGCAACGGAGUAGCAACGGCAGCGAGGGCGGUGGGGCUGGGAGAUGCAGUAGCCUAAACGGCAGGCAUGGCGGCGGGGGGAAAUAGCAACAGCAGCAGGCGCGGCGGCGGCGGGAAUUAGCAACGGAGUAGCAGCGGCAGCAACGGUGGUGGGGCUGGGAGGUGCAUUAGGGAGGGCCUUUAUUUUACAAAAAUGGGCCACAUCCAAUUGGCCAUCCAAUCUUUUCUCUCUUCACUCUCUUCCAAGUGAUGUAGCCACAGAGAACAUACAAACACUAUUUUGGUAUUGCUGUGGCUGCCAGUUCAACUCUGGCAUGGAAGUCAUUUUUCUUUCUCUGACUAUAUACCUACUACUAUUAUUGUUGUAGCGCGAUAGCUACACAGUAAUGAUGAGCUUAUCAAGAAAUAUGCGAAUCAAUUAUGAACAUGAAAUCUUCUGAAAACUGACCUGGCUGUCAAGAAUCGUUUGUAAGAAUUCACUGGAACUGAACAUCAUGAAUCUGUACGACAGCCUUACCGAAAUCCAUAAAUCUACUGAAAUCGUCUUUGCUCACAGAACGGACGUGGGUUCUUUUAGAAUUCAUAUUCUACUCACGUUCGGAGCGCGGUCUUAUACCGUGGUCGGGGCAGUGCCGGCCUGAGACAUACUUCACGGGCCAGUAGCACUGCACUACACUACAACAUCUUUUGGUGUCUCAGUAGCGCAUUGCUAUUAAUAUAUUAUUCUCUAAGUAGUUGGCUUAAUUUAGCGUACCAGCCGCCUCCCUCACUGAAGGGCGGCUGACCAUUGACUUCUGAGGCGGAUGUUCUCUGGACCACCGCGCACUCCCAACGAAGUUCUGUUACAAGCCCUACUUGCUGGACUUCGUCUUUCUGCUCAAGGUUGGCGGCUUUGAACGCGACUUCCUGUCGUUCCGCCAUGGAUCCGCCAACGAACACUGAUUCAAUGAAUGUAGAUGAAGUCGCUGUACCGCCACCGAACCCAUCGAACCCACCGAACCUUCCGAACCCACCGACUCAAGCGAAUCCACAACGAACCACCGAACCGGCUAGGGAUGCUGGCGGCUCCGCCGGUCCAUCCCGUGGCGAACACGAAUUGGUGGAGCUGAAACUCCAAUUAGUCCAAGCUGAAAUCGAACUCGCCAAAAUCAAGAACUCUGGAGCUGGCCCGUCAACCGCACCAGUUCCGGUGGUGAGUCCUGUUACUACGAAUCUUGUGCAUACCGAACCCCGAUUCAUGUUCCGAAUUGAACCACCGCAGCCAAGCAAGUCCAAUAGUCUUGAAAUGUUUGCCAACGAUUUUCAAGACUGGGUCGCCAAGUAUACACCGAACAACACCGAUGACGCCUUGUGGCAACUGCGUCACGCGAUGCGCGAAUACCCACCUGGCGCUCUGGACUNNNNNNNNNNNNNNNNNNNNNNNNNNNNNNNNNNNNNNNNNNNNNNNNNNNNNNNNNNNNNNNNNNNNNNNNNNNNNNNNNNNNNNNNNNNNNNNNNNNNNNNNNNNNNNNNNNNNNNNNNNNNNNNNNNNNNNNNNNNNNNNNNNNNNNNNNNNNNNNNNNNNNNNNNNNNNNNNNNNNNNNNNNNNNNNNNNNNNNNNNNNNNNNNNNNNNNNNNNNNNNNNNNNNNNNNNNNNNNNNNNNGAAUUGGGAGAAGUACAUUGGAUGCAGCAAGGGAAGUGUUACCGUUGCGGCGUUCAGAACGACCACAUCAGCUCGCGCUGUCCGAAUCCGCUGGUAACACCGGAGAUGUUUCGCCAGCCAGAGAACCCAUAGGAGUUUGCCCAGUCGUUUUCGUGUGGCACGCGUACUGGGGACAUGAAUUCGCAUGAUUUCCGAAUUAUUGAUUAUGAGUUGUUGCGACAACUAGAGCGUCGAAUUGGACGAACGUUUUCUUUGGACGCUGCUGCGAACGAUGAUGGAAGUAAUUCUGUCUGUAAGAUGUUUGCUUCACCGACUCGCUCCUUUCUCAAUUCCGAUUGCUCUGGCCACACUAUCUGGAUGAAUCCUCCCACGAAACUGUUAUCCGAUUUCCUCCGUCAUUACCACCGUUGCAAGAGUUAUGAUCCUAGCAUAUCCUCUUGUAUUUUGAUUCCAACCGAACAGAAACGAAUACGUCCCUAUCUGAAAGACAUGACACGACUUAUGAUUUUACCGUCCGGAACUCAGUUGUACCGUUCAUAUCGGGUUGGUUGUCCAGAUCCCCCGCCUGAAACGAGCACUUAUGAAAUUUGGUGGGAUCCACCUAAAGGAAAACCGAUUGAGCCGAAAUGUUCUAUAACCGAAACCGAUAAUCAGUUGCAUUUAUUUGCUGGACGCCUUGGUGCUAAUGCUGUACAAGUUCUUCCGGACACUGGCGCUACGCACUGCUUCAUUUCCCAGCUCAUGGCUACCAAACUUGGCUUGCGGAUCUUGCCUACACCGCUUGCUCCAGUGCGCCUAGCCGACCAGUCGACCGUACCUAUUCUUGGUGAGUGUCGAGCUCGUUUGCGCCUUGGUAGUUUUGGUACCGAUAUCCGUUUGCUCGUUUUACCGGCUUUGACUGUAUCGGCGGAUGUGAUCCUUGGCACGAACUUCUUAACCCGUUAUGAUGCGCAAUUAAGGCCUGCGCAUAGCGAACUGAGUUUAUUACGGCCAAACGGUGCGCGAUGUACGUUGCGAGCGAUGCACGCCCCGUCUUCUUCUGUUUCCGAAUCACCGAAACCCGAAUUUCUGUUGUUGGAAAGAGCGCCAGCUCGCACGUCUGUGGUAUCCGCGGAGCGCGCGUUUAGAGACCUUUUCGAGUCGCCCGGCUCGCGUGGGUUGCUGGUUGUCGUGAAACCGUUAACCGAAUCUACCGCACAUCCUCCGACCAGCCCCAUUCCUCAGGUCAAUUCUCUCGAACUUCCACCUGAAAUCGAAACGAACCGAACCUUAGCAACAAUCUUGCAUAAAUAUGCGGAUGUGUUUGCUCCGAUUUCCGGGCUACCUCCUGACCGUGGGGUACAUCAUACAAUACCGUUAGAGCCAGAUGCACAACCGAUUUACCGUCCUCAGUACCGUUUGACACCGUUGGAAAAGGAAGAAGUUGAAAAGCAGGUCAAGGACUUGCUGGCUAAAGGGUUUAUUCAGCCCUCAACAUCUCCUUUUGGUGCGCCAAUUCUCUUUGUGACCAAGAAGACCGGUGAACUCCGUAUGUGUAUCGAUUACCGAGCCCUAAAUCGAUUAACGAUUAAGAACAAAUAUCCGUUACCACGAAUUGACGAUACGCUAGACCGGUUAGCGGGAGCACGAAUCUUUUCUGCUCUUGACUUGGCUUCUGGUUAUCAUCAACUCCGAAUUCACCCGGAUGACGUCCCGAAAUCUGCUUUUAAUACACCGUUGGGACAUUUCGAGUGGUUGGUGUUGCCUUUUGGGCUUUCCAAUGCUCCUGCGACGUUUCAAGCAACCAUGAACCGGAUUUUCGCACCGUAUAUGCACCGAUUUGUCACUGUAUAUCUGGAUGAUAUUCUGAUCUUUUCGAAAACUCCGGAAGAACACGCUGAGCAUUUGCGUUUGGUUCUUGAAACGCUCCGAAAACACCAACUGCACGCGAAACUUUCGAAAUGUGAAUUCUGGAAAACCGACGUCAAGUACCUUGGUCACAUCGUAGGCUCUGCUGGUAUCCGAAUGGACCCGAAUAAGGUGGACACGAUCCGAAAUUGGCCACAACCUAAGGACCUAAGUGAGCUGCGCGCCUUCGUUGGCCUUGCGAAUUAUUUCCGACGAUUUAUCCGAAAUUUUGCGUCCUUGGCCGCGCCACUUACGGACCUCUUUGGCAAACCGCGCCUCCCGGAUGAAUGGCCACCUCAGGCGCUGGCCGCAUUUCAAUCCAUUAAAGAAUGCCUGUCCACCGAUGUCUUACUGCAUUAUCCGAACUUCUCGAAACCGUUUGAGCUUGUUUCCGACGCAUCGCUCAAUGGAACCGGUGCCGUACUGUUGCAAGAUGGUCGUCCGAUUGCUUUCACGAGUAAGAAAUUUUCCGCUGCCGAACGCAACUACUCUACCGGUGAACAAGAACUGUUGGGCGUUGUGAAUGCUUUACGCGAGUGGCGAUGUUACUUGCAAAGCAACAUCCCAUUCACCCUCGUUACCGAUCAUCAUCCGCUUACGUAUCUGAAAACGCAAGCUCAUCUGANNNNNNNNNNNNNNNNNNNNNNNNNNNNNNNNNNNNNNNNNNNNNNNNNNNNNNNNNNNNNNNNNNNNNNNNNNNNNNNNNNNNNNNNNNNNNNNNNNNNNNNNNNNNNNNNNNNNNNNNNNNNNNNNNNCAACCGGCUUCUGGUUUACCGGCAGGUGAAUUACAUCCACUACCGAUCCCUGAUAUGCCUUGGGAAAGUAUUUCCAUGGACUUUAUUGUGGGACUUCCGAAAACCAAACGCCAGCACGAUGCUAUUCUGGUGUUUGUGGAUCGCCUUACGAAAAUGGUACAUCUUGCUCCUUGCCGUACUACCGCUAACGCCGAACAAUGUGCUGACAUGAUGUUUCAUCACGUCGUGAGACUUCAUGGAAUGCCACAAAAGAUUAUUUCCGACCGUGACCCGAGAUUUAAGAAUCUGUUUCUACCGGCUUUGCUCAAUCGAGCUGGUGCAAAACAAAACACGAGUACCGCUUUUCACCCUGAAACCGAUGGACAAACCGAACGAAUCAACCGAAUCCUUGGAGACAUGUUAAGACAAUACGUUUCCACUGACACUGAACAAUGGGAUCGUUAUCUCGAUGCCGCUGAAUUCGCGAUUAACAAUCUGCGAAACCGAACCACGGGUCAGUCACCUUUCUUUCUGAAUUACGGUUUCCACCCGCGAACGCCUCUACAGUUGGAACUUGCUGAUACCGUUCCCGCUGCUAAGGUGUACGUGGAUACGUUUCACGAACGACUGAAACUUGCGAAACGAUUCUAUCAGUCUGCGCAAGACCGAGCUGUACAACAGGAGAGUAAGAAACGACGUACCGUAACCCUCCAUGUUGGACAACAGGUAUUACUGAGUACGAAAAAUCUGUCUAUACAGAAAGGCACACGAAAACUGAUGCCCCGUUGGAUUGGACCUUUUCCGAUUACUGAAAUGAUUAAUUCCGUUACUUUCCGUUUGGAAUUGCCUCCUGAAUACCGAUUCCACGAUGUGUUUCAUGUGUCCUUACUCCGACCCUACUGUGCUGACGUCCCUGAUGGACCUGUUCAGCCUCCGAAAGCUUUGGAAUUUGACCCUGUCACUUCCAAGCCUGUCUGGACGAUUGAACGAAUUCUGAAGCAUGAAACCCGUAAACUGAGAAAACGAACCUUAUACCGAUUUCUGGUCAAAUGGAAAGGACAUACUGAUGAGAACAAUACGUGGCUUGAUUCUACCGAUAUUUCCGAUCGAAAUCUGAUUACUGAGUACUGGAAAGCUCACCCGGAACACAGCGAGGACGCUGGUUCCUGGGGGGAGUAGGCAGCUGUUGUAGCGCGAUAGCUACACAGUAAUGAUGAGCUUAUCAAGAAAUAUGCGAAUCAAUUAUGAACAUGAAAUCUUCUGAAAACUGACCUGGCUGUCAAGAAUCGUUUGUAAGAAUUCACUGGAACUGAACAUCAUGAAUCUGUACGACAGCCUUACCGAAAUCCAUAAAUCUACUGAAAUCGUCUUUGCUCACAGAACGGACGUGGGUUCUUUUAGAAUUCAUAUUCUACUCACGUUCGGAGCGCGGUCUUAUACCGUGGUCGGGGCAGUGCCGGCCUGAGACAUACUUCACGGGCCAGUAGCACUGCACUACACUACAACAAUUAUACUAAAGGGUAGUACCAGUACUACUAUAUACAUAAAAGUAGUAGUAGUAGUAGUAGUAGUAGUAGUAGUAGUAGUAGUAGUAGCAGCACAUACAAUAAAUCGCAAGUGUGAUCCAGGGAUGCCAUUUCGUGAAACAAAAUUUUCAAAAUUCUCGCCAGUCCAGAAAUGCAAGUCCAGCAGGCGCGGCAGCGGCGGGAAAUAGCAACGCAGCAGCAGUGGCAGCGACGGCAGUGGGGUUGGGAGGUGCAGUAGCCUAAACGGCAGGCGUGGCGGCGGCGGGAAUUAGCAACGCAGCAGCAGUGGCAGCGACGGCGGUGGGGUUGGAGGUGCAGUAGCCUAAACGGCAGGCGCGGCGGCGGUGGGAAUUAGCAACGCAGCAGCAGUGGCAGCGAUGAAGGUGGGGUUGGAAGGUGCAGUAGCCUAAACGGCAGGCGUGGUGGGGGGGGAAUUAGCAAGAGCAGCAGGCGCGGCGGCUGGGGGAAUUAGCAACGGAGUAGCAGCGGCAGCGAUUGCGUUGGGGCUGGGAGGUGCAGUAGCCUAAAUGGCAGGCACGGCGGUGGCGGGAAUUAGCAACGGAGUAGCAACGGCAGCGACGGUGGUGGGGCUGGGAG
rnacentral:lncRNA from 1 species